AUGGCCAGUGCAAGGAGGAGAACAACCUUCUUCUUAAUGAGUGAAAGCAAGUUUUUAUGGGACAUAAAGCCUGCCUACAUGCAUUUUGAGUGUGUUUGCCCCCACAUCACUCCCAAGCUUACUAAUUUGAUCAACGUUACGUCCCGCAUACCAUUAACCAAAUUCAAGCUUGUGGAAAACCAGUCCCUCACAAUUUCAAGUGUGGCAGGCAGGACCAGUUCUGAGAUUUUAUGCCCUUGCUUGUCAUACUGA
rnacentral:lncRNA from 1 species